ACUGGGUGUGGUGGCGGGCACCUGUAGUCCUAGCUACUCUGGAGACUGAGGCAGGAGAAUUGCUUGAACCCGGGAGGCGGAGGUUGUGGUGAGUGGAGCCAAGAUUGUACCACUGCACUCCAGCCUGGGUGACAAAGUGUCUCAAAAAAAAAAAAAUUGUUCCCUUCAUGAAGCCUACCUUGAUUUUUUGUUUUUUGUCUUUUGAGACAGAAUCUCACUCUGUCGCCCAGGCUGGUGUGCAGUGGCACAAUCUUGGCUCACCACAACCUCUGCCUCCUGGGUUCUAGUGAUUCUCCUGCCUCAGU
rnacentral:SRP_RNA from 1 species